GACGAACCGUGCGAACGUUGUUCGGAAUCACUGGGCUUAAAGGGCGCGUAGGCGGGCUGGCAAGUCCGUGGUGAAAGCCCCCGGCUCAACCGGGGAAGGGCCUCGGAUACUGCCAGCCUUGAGGGAGGUAGGGGCCUGUGGAACUUCCGGUGGAGCGGUGAAAUGCGUUGAUAUCUACAGGAACUCCGGUGGCGAAGGCGGCGCGCUGGACCUCUUCUGACGCUGAGACUCGAAAGCGUGGGGAGCAAACAGG
rnacentral:rRNA from 1 species